rnacentral:rRNA from 1 species
CUUAAAUUGAAGAGUUUGAUCAUGGCUCAGAUUGAACGCUGGCGGCAGGCCUAACACAUGCAAGUCGAGCGGAAACGAGUUAACUGAACCUUCGGGGAACGAUAACGGCGUC